rnacentral:rRNA from 1 species
UUGAACGCUGGCGGCAUGCCUUACACAUGCAAGUCGAACGGCAGCACGGGAGCAAUCCUGGUGGCGAGUGGCGAACGGGUGAGUAAUAUAUCGGAACGUGCCCAAUCGUGGGGGAUAACGCAGCGAAAGCUGUGCUAAUACCGCAUACGAUCUACGGAUGAAAGCGGGGGAUCGCAAGACCUCGCGCGAUAGGAGCGGCCGAUAUCGGAUUAGCUAGUUGGUGAGGUAAAGGCUCACCAAGGCGACGAUCCGUAGCUGGUCUGAGAGGACGACCAGCCACACUGGAACUGAGACACGGUCCAGACUCCUACGGGAGGCAGCAGUGGGGAAUUUUGGACAAUGGGGGAAACCCUGAUCCAGCCAUUCCGCGUGAGUGAAGAAGGCCUUCGGGUUGUAAAGCUCUUUCGGCAGGAACGAAACGGUAAGGGCUAAUAUCCUUUGCUAAUGACGGUACCUGAAGAAGAAGCACCGGCUAACUACGU